CGCCUCUUGAACAAUAUAAGAGGUCCCGCCUGCCCUGUGACGAAAGUUUAACGGCCGCGGUAUUCUGACCGUGCGAAGGUAGCGUAAUAACUUGUCUUUUAAAUAGAGACCUGUAUGAAUGGCAUAACGAGGGCUAAGCUGUCUCCUUUUUCUAGUCAAUGAAAUUGAUCUCCCCGUGCAGAAGCGGGGAUUACAACAUAAGACGAGAAGACCCUAUGGAGCUUUAGACACCAGGACAGACCAUGUUAAGACCCCUGCAAUACCAGGAAUAAACCCCAGGGCCCCUGUUCUCCUGUCUUUGGUUGGGGCGACCGCGGGGAAAUACAAAACCCCCACGAGGAACGGGAAACCACCCCUAAACUCAGAGCCACAGCUCUAGUUAACAGAACAUCUGACUUUGAGAUCCGGCACUGCCGAUCAACGGACCGAGUUACCCUAGGGAUAACAGCGCAAUCCCCUUUUAGAGCCCAUAUCGACAAGGGGGUUUACGACCUCGAUGUUGGAUCAGGACCUCCUAAUGGUGCAGCCGCUAUUAAGGGUUCGUUUGUUCAACGAUUAAAGUCCU
rnacentral:rRNA from 1 species